rnacentral:lncRNA from 1 species
UCACACACGAAGAAUUCCAAAAUGGCUAGGGUCCAAGGUUUAGCUCUUCUUGGUUUAUUAGUGAUUUCAAGUUUGGUUAUGUUAACCGAGAGCCGAGUCGCAAGAAAAGACUUGGGGCUUGACCUAGGCGGGAUUGGGGUCGGUCUGGGCGUUGGAUUGGGGAUUGGUAUUGGCGGCGGUUCAGGCUCUGGUGCUGGUGCUGGUGCAGGUUCAGGAUCAGGUUCAUCAUCUAGUUCUAGCUCUAGCUCGUCAUCAAGUUCGAGUUCUAGUGGUUCGGGUCGAUCAGGAGCCGGAUCAUCUGCUGGUUCAUUUGCUGGAUCUAGAGCUGGAUCAGGAUCUGGUAACUAAAUAAUAAGUAACGAUGUAUUUCCUACUUAAAGUAUGAACCAAAAAGUGUGUGUUUAUGUUGUUGGUUUGUCGUGUGUAUAUACGAAGUUGGAUGAAUAAAAUGUCGUCAUAAGUUAUGUUUGUUUGAGUCUGUAUGUUUUUUUGGGUGCAAUUUGAGUCUGUAUGUUCCAUACAAGUCUAAAUUGUUAUAUAAUCUCUUUAAAUUUGGAUCAGUGCAUGUGCAAUCGUAAUUAGGUAAUUCGAAUUUGGAACCAAAGAAAACAAGCUUCAAACGAUAUCAAUAAAUCAAAUCAUAUGAUCACAAAUUAUAGUUCUUUUACUUCAAAUGGUUAAACUCUUAAAUUUCAAAGAAUCAGUGCAGUGGUCUGUCACUUAUGAAAGAGUUUCGUAUUUUGUUAAUCCUAAAUCUCUAAAUUGAAUAUUACUGUAUAUUUAAUCGAGUUAGUCCACCUACCUUAUGAUAGUACAUAAUAUUAACUUUAUUUUUUCCAUAAUUGUGUCUGUAUUAGACACUAUUAAUAGACAAAGUUGAUGUGUUCCUUGUAAUCCCAAGUAAAUAGAUAUGAGCGUCUGGAUAUACAUAGUUUUGAAUAUAGAUGAAUACGUUCAAUUUUGAUGAACCAUUCCGAAUAUAAUGAUCAAAAUUUUGACAGUAAAUCGCAACUGUAAUUAAAUCAUUUAUUUCUAUAUGUAUCAAAACUCAUACAAAACGUUGUAAUAUUGGCGUCUCCAGGUACAUCUUGUUCUAGAAACCUAAUACAUUGAUUAAAUUUUUAAAGGAUCCUAGUUUUUGCUAAUUAUUUUUAAUAUAGUUUCAAAUUUACGAAAAGUAAAUGAACCAAUGUAUAAGAUUUAAGCAUGUUACGUCGCUUCUAGACAAAGACUCUAAUAAUAGCUAACUAGUGCUGUGAAAAGUCCUAAAAACUUUGUCUACCAUAAUCGCUUACUCCAUUAUUUUAAAAAUAAAUAUAUAAUUUGAGAUUCUAGCAGGAUUUCGCAAAUCUUUUCUUUCUCGAAUUCAAUCUUAGUCUGGAUUCAAAGAAUCCUCACAAAAACUAUGAAUAGGCUUGAAGUAAGUGAUCUGUUUAAAAAAAUGUAGUAAGAGGUGGCCCCCCAUGCCUUCUCUUUUAUGGUGAAACCGUGACUUGUGGAAGCGGUAGUGCUAGAGAAACAUGGAAGCGGCACGCAGUUAUUAUUGCCAUUCUCUUAUCGCUUUCCCAAAACAGCCAAUGGUGAAUGCUAUGGUCAGCACGUCCUCUCUCUGCAUUAUCCUGUUUGAAAAAGUAGAGUUUUAUUCUCUCAAAUUAUAAAAACUUUGUUAUAUGAUUAUAACAUAUUUUCAUUGGUUCCAAAUUAUAGUAAAACUGAUAAAUGCACUCACACGUCUUUGUGCUAAAAUUUGACUCAGUGCGGGCCAGUGCCAGUCAGUCGGGUUAAUCAUAUAAAGAGCAGUAAUUAGUAGUUCUAAAUUUACUUUGCUAAUUGAGUAAUUACAAUAUCAAGAGAAAUUUUAUUAUGUUCUUUUGCUAUCUGGAAUCCGAAGCCACACUCCUCUGAAUGCAUUCACCAUUUACAUAUCACAAGAUUUACAACUUAUGGAGCUCUUUUUAGUGCUGAUCGUAUACGAAUUGGAUACGUUAUCAAAUUGUAACUAUAAUCGAUUAACUAAGUAUUUUUAAUAUGCGAAUAAGGCAUUAAAGAAAAACUAUACUUUUUUUUUGCACGGACCACGUCUUGCGAACCGGAAUUGAUAUAUUAGAAGAUUCUACUAAACAAACCAUACACAAUGACCUAAGCAUGUGGUCUUUUGAAGUUAUAAAGUAGUGGAAAUAUAUUUGGUGAUGAACACGUAAUAGCUCACUCUAUCGCAAAGCUUCUAUAAAUACCCGAACAUGUUAUUCUCUCUUGUAUCCAACUAAGUUACACUACAAGUCUACAAACUCAAUACACAUUGACUGGCAAGUCCACAGACUAUUUUUUUAAAAGGUUUCACACACGAAGAAUUCCAAAAUGGCUAGGGUCCAAGGUUUAGCUCUUCUUGGUUUAUUAGUGAUUUCAAGUUUGGUUAUGUUAACCGAGAGCCGAGUCGCAAGAAAAGACUUGGGGCUUGACCUAGGCGGGAUUGGGGUCGGUCUGGGCGUUGGAUUGGGGAUUGGUAUUGGCGGCGGUUCAGGCUCUGGUGCUGGUGCUGGUGCAGGUUCAGGAUCAGGUUCAUCAUCUAGUUCUAGCUCUAGCUCGUCAUCAAGUUCGAGUUCUAGUGGUUCGGGUCGAUCAGGAGCCGGAUCAU